UACAGAGGUCCCGAGCGUUGUUCGGAUUUAUUGGGCGUAAAGGGUGCGUAGGUGGCAAAGUAAGUUGGAUGUGAAAUCCUGGGGCUCAACCUCAGAAUUGCAUUCAAUACUGCUUAGCUAGAGAGCUGUAGGGGAGACUGGAAUUUACGGUGUAGCAGUGAAAUGCGUAGAUAUCGUAAGGAACGCCAGUGGCGAAAGCGGCGACCUGGACAGGCACUGACACUCAACUACGAAAGCGUGGGGAGCAAACAGG
rnacentral:rRNA from 1 species